GAUGAACGCUGGCGGCGUGCCUAAUACAUGCAAGUCGAGCGAACAGACGAGGAGCUUGCUCCUCUGACGUUAGCGGCGGACGGGUGAGUAACACGUGGAUAACCCACCUAUAAGACUGGGAUAACGUCGGGAAACCGGAGCUAAUACCGGAUAAUAUAUUGAACCGCAUGGUUCAAUAGUGAAAGACGGUUUUGCUGUCACUUAUAGAUGGAUCCGCGCCGCAUUAGCUAGUUGGUAAGGUAACGGCUUACCAAGGCAACGAUGCGUAGCCGACCUGAGAGGGUGAUCGGCCACACUGGAACUGAGACACGGUCCAGACUCCUACGGGAGGCAGCAGUAGGGAAUCUUCCGCAAUGGGCGAAAGCCUGACGGAGCAACGCCGCGUGAGUGAUGAAGGUCUUCGGAUCGUAAAACUCUGUUAUUAGGGAAGAACAAAUGUGUAAGUAACUAUGCACGUCUUGACGGUACCUAAUCAGAAAGCCACGGCUAACUACGUG
rnacentral:rRNA from 1 species